UGCUCACCCAUCCAUCCAGAUUCCAGGCCAAGGUUAACGAGCUAGGGUUUGGUUCCUUUCACAAUUUUCUGAAAUCGUAACUAGAUAGAGCAAUGGCAGGAUCAGGAUUUCUCAAGUUUCUCAGCCCUGCCCGCCGUCCUCAACCUGCCGAAAUUCAGGCAGUCACCAUGUGGGGUGUCACCGCCGGAACCACUGCUCUUUGGAUCGUCCAGCCAUUUGACUGGAUAAGGAAAACAUUUUUCGAGAAACCCGAGCCUGAAGUGAAGUGAUUAUUGUAAAACCCCAGCAGCAGCAGGAGGUAAAAACCAACCAUUGAUAUUCGUUUGAUUGAAGAUUGGGUCUUAAUUAAAAGUUGAGUUCAAUAAUGGAGAUUGAUUUAUUUCCUGUUGUUUCAGCACACACUGAUGAAUAAUGAAUUAAUGUUAUAUAACCCUUUUUUUUUAUGUGAUUUUGAAUGAAACAUAAAACAAUCAGUUUGAUA